ensembl:lncRNA
GUGAUAGGCUCCUCCUCUCCAGCCCCUCCUCCCCACCCACCUCUCAGGCCCUCCUGGGAUAGCUGUCCUCCUCUGGGGCCCUGUACUUGCUCCCAGCCAUGGUGGCUAGGCUCACUGCGCUCCUCCUUUACCUCGUUUUCUCCUUGGCCAUCCUGGUCCAGACAGGUACAGCACCCUGCUCACUUGCCUUGCAACCUGAAGAUGACUGCAGAGAGCAUCCAGUGUGUGCCAAGCAGUAGAUUUCUACUGGUGGAGCAUCAGUGAUACUGACAAAGAUGUCUAUCUCAUGACUCUUGAGAUAUCUCUAUAUGCAUGUGGUUCUAGGGCUGAGAAGGAGGAGAGCCUUGUACAUACCACGCAGGUGCUCUACUACUGCCAAGACACAGCCUAGACCUUGGCAGAGUUUUUCAGAGACAGGAUAUCUGUG